rnacentral:rRNA from 1 species
AGUGAACGCUGGCGGUAGGCCUAACACAUGCAAGUCGAACGGCAGCACAGUAAGAGCUUGCUCUUACGGGUGGCGAGUGGCGGACGGGUGAGGAAUACAUCGGAAUCUACUUUUUCGUGGGGGAUAACGUAGGGAAACUUACGCUAAUACCGCAUACGACCUACGGGUGAAAGCAGGGGAUCUUCGGACCUUGCGCGAUUGAAUGAGCCGAUGUCGGAUUAGCUAGUUGGCGGGGUAAAGGCCCACCAAGGCGACGAUCCGUAGCUGGUCUGAGAGGAUGAUCGGCCACACUGGAACGGAGACACGGGCCAGACGCCGACGGGAGGCAGCAGUAGGGAAGCGUCAGCAAUGGGCGAAAGCCGGACGGAGCAACGCCGCGGGAGUAAUGAAGGGCUGCUGAUCGUAAAACUCUGUGAUUAGGGAAGAACAAAAGGCUAAGUAACUAUGCACGGCAGGACGGGACCUAAUCAGAAAGCCACGGCUAACUACGUG